rnacentral:lncRNA from 1 species
GGGGCCUGGGCGGGCGGCAGCGCCCCGCCCCCUCGCGCGAGGACCUUGGCGGGGGCGGCGGGGUCUCCGUCUAGAAUGGGGUAUUUUGCCUCUGCUCCUCAAGGCGGUCGCCGCUGUCAUCUGCGAUAACUUUCUGUGGUCGCGGCGCAGGUGCAGGUGCAACCGUCCGGUGCGGCGGCGCAGGCUCAGGGCCCGCGGGCAGCGGGGUCUCUAACCCCCUGGGCCGCGCCCGCGGGGCAGGGUCUCUAACCCCGCGCGGGCCGCCGCCAGCCGGGCUGCAGCUGUUGGACCGGGGCCUCGUCCGCCCGCGACGCCGUCCAGCGGGUAACCUGCGGCCGUGCGGCUGCGGGACGCAACAGGAAUACGAAUCUGGGCGGCGGGCAGGGCGUUUGCCGGGGGCCCAGCCUGCUGCGCCUUGGGCGGCACUUUUUUUUUUUAAAGAUUUUAUUUAUUUGUUCAUGAGAGAGAGAGAGAGGCAGAGACCCAGGCAGAGGGAGAAGCAGGCUCCACGCAGGGAGCCCGACGUGGACUCGAUGCCGGGACCCCAGGAUCACGCCCCGGGCCGCAGGGGCGCUAGACCACUGAGCCCCCGGGCUGCCCAAGGGCAUGUUUUACGAAGAGGAUCCAGGACAUGGACAGGCUGACCCCGCCGCCGUGGGAGGCAGAGCUGGAAAGAGGGAGCAGAGAACAUCUUAGAACAUCUUCAUGCACAUUGUGGCUUUGAUCCCAAGAAAAUGUGGAGAUUUGCUGACGAUUUCAAGCAGGAGAAUAAAUCAAUAUUCUGACAAAAAAAUGUGGCUGCUUUCAAGACAACUUAAAUUACGUAUUUCUGUUGGACAGCCUGGCCCACAUGCAACCCCAGAGCACCUUCCUGAGGAUUCGGUUGCCCAGCCAACCCCUUGUAAUCGGAGAUCUCGGGGACUGAGCUUUCUGCACAAAUGGUAUUUUCCUGGAAGGAGGUUGACUGCAAGGGACAGUCGAGCAGGAUUACUGUCGUCACUUGGGCGUGGGACUGGUGGUGGCAGUGGAGGCGCAGUUUGGAAACGGGGCUUCUGGCCCUGGUUGCCCUUCUUUGGGAAUGGGAACCGUAGUCUCUAGAUCAGUAACACAGGGACCAAGGUCAAUAAAACUAAGCUCACUGAAGACUCGAACGCUCUGCUACCCACAGAGGACAAGCAGUUUUCUCACUUGCAUUUAGCAAAAUAAACAGAGACCUAGAGGACACUGCAGAAGCAUCAGGAAAACAUCAGUCAACUGUUCGGGCUCUUGGACUUUAGCCUGAUCAUAUUUGCAUCCUUCAUGGCAUUAAAUUUUCUUCAUAAGAAGUCUUAAAAAAAAAUCCAAGGACACCUGGAGAACAGGAAGAGCUUCGGAGCUUUCAGCACGAGGUCUGGUCCAUGUCUGGCAUGCGGUGAGUCCAUGUCUUAGUGAGAAGCGUAACUAUUUAUUAUGGCUAUUUUGGGGCCUUUUCUUGGUCGUCAGUGAGCCCCCGGAAGGAGACGGUACUUUCUUCCACUUUGAGCGGGGAUCAGCCCACACGUGCCUGUGGUAGCAGGUGUUGCCAAGUGUCAGUUGGUGCAGGAUGAAUGCACCUGCGCCCCCCACGCUGUGCUGUGCAGGGGUGGGUCACUUCCCGGCCCCCCUGCCCCCAGGACGGGGGGGGGGGUGCACAACGGCCAAUGGAGGAGAAAACAGCAACCUUUCAGUCCCGGAGGGACUCUUAACCCCAAAUGAGAGCCCUUAUGGUUCUGGGCAAAAUCGGGAAGGGGACAGAGGUCACAAGAGAUGACAGCCAGCCCCAGGGCCUCACAGGGCUCCUGUGGUUCCUGCGGCCUCAUCAUGAUCCCAGAAUUGCCUCUGCACUGCCCUUCCCCUAAGGAGCCACUGAGAAAAGGAAGGACCGUCCUCCAGCUACAUCACACGUCUCCCUUGGGUUUCCUUUUACCACUUUGGAGAGUGGACCCCAAGGUGCCCAGACUCUUCUGAUAUCUUCAAAAAAUCAAACUAAUGGAUGCUAGAGUAUUACCCCGGCCCUAGGAAGGCCAGGAUGGCCUCAGCAUCACUCCACAUUCCACGCCAUUCCGCGUUCCCUCCCUUAUUCCUCCUCACUCCCCUCCUGCCAAACACGUCUCUUCUCUCAUUCCCUUAGGCCACCCUGCUUCCCGGGUCCUGGCUCGUAGGCAAACCCAGGGAUCUGUGCUCACCUACAGGUGCCGUCGUGGGACUUUGUAUAUGGGGGGUGGGGUAGGGGAGGAAGUAUUUACUCAAGAUCACCUUUUUUCCCCCCUAAUCAUAAAAUAGAUAGGUAUUCACUUAGAAAAUGGGGGAAAAAUAUACAAGAGUAAUAAAAAUCUCUCCUGUAAUUCCACUAUUUUUUUUAAAAGACUAUUUAUUCAUGAGAGACACAGAGAGAGAGAGGCAGAGGGAGAAGCAGGCUCCAUGCAGGGAGCCCGAUGUGGGACUCGAUCCCAGGACCCGGGGUCAGGCCUGAGCCCAAGGCAGCUGCUCAGCCGCUGAGCCCCUGGCGUCCCUGUAAUUCCAUCCUUAAGAAAUAACCAGUUAACAUUUUUGCUGUUUUCUCUAAGCCCUUGUGUACGCAUGUCCUCGCCUCCCACUUGGAGGCACACGACAUCUGUCAGGCUCAGUCCUGUGCUUUCCCACCGAACGUCAUACUUCAAAUGUUUUCUCGUGUCAGUUAAUAUCCUUUAAAAUGUUGCUUCUAUUUGGAAUCUAUUCCUUUGGAUGAAUGUUCCAUGAUUUAUUUAAUUAACCCCCUAUUGUGGGAGAUUUAGCUUGUUUCUAAUUUCUCACUAUUGAAAAUGACUCCGGGAUAAAUGCUUUUGUACACACAUUUUGUUUACCACUUUGGUUCUCACCGUAUGGUGGGUCCCUGGAUGUGAAGUGAUGGAGGCCUGGGGUGUGAGCAUUUUUAAGACUGUCAUAUAGAUUAACCAAAUUACUCUCCAGAAACAUUGUAGCAAUUUAUAUGCCCACCAGCACGGGAAGUGCUUAUUUUUUUUUACUUCCUACUGUUCUCAUGUGAGUGAUCUUUGCAAAACUGACGGAUGACACAUAACAUCUUAUUUUCCUUUGCGUUUCUUUGUUAACGUGUGAUACUGAAGUCGGUGUCGCCGGUGGUGGUUUAUUGGCCGUUCGUACUUCUUUUGCUAAUUGCCUGUUCUUGUCCUUUGCCCAUUUUUCUUUUGGGAUCAUUAAUUCUUAAGCUUGCUUUAUAAGCCUCCUUGGGCACAUUUAUUGCAAGUCUCCCACUCCCAGUUUGGCAAAUUCCUUUUUGGUUGUGUAUUUCGUGUUUUGGUUUGCCACAGAGAUGUUUGCAUUUUUAAAAUGUAGUCAAGCUGUAUAUUUAUCAGUAAGACUGAUGUGUUCACUUUUUUAAAAAAAGAUUUUAUUUAUUUAUUCAUGAGAGACAGAGAGAGAGAGAGGCAGAGACACAGGCAGAGGGAGCAGCAGGCUCCAUGCAGGGAGCCCAACGUGGGACUCGAACCUGGGCUGCCCUGAUGUAUUCAUUUUUAUGAUUAAAAAAAAAAUCCCUUGUUAUUCUAAGUAAUCAUCCCCUCCACCCCCCUCUGAGCGGGGAGCCGGACACAGGGCUCGAUCCCACGACCCUGAGGUCACGACCUGACCCAGAAUCAAGUCAGACGCUGCACUGCUGAGCCCGCAGGUGACCUCUCCCUCCGGGUCCUAGUAGCAGCGUCACCCCCCUGCCUACUGGCUGCCUGGCUGUCCCGGAGGUGGGGAGGUGGGGAGCGGUCUAAUCAAGCACCAAAUCCUCAGGGAGCUGCUUUGUCUCCCGGCUCUCUCCCAGCGAUCUAAUGAUGAUUCUGUCAAGAGUGCGCUACUCCCGCUACUCCCGGCAGCCUCCCGGCUCCGUGGGCAAGCCCAGCGCCUCCCUCCCCCCUUCUUGGGGCACUUGAACCCGCAGGACCGGGAGGCUGGGGUGAGAGGGCAGGCUGUGGGCGCCAGCGGGGACUGGUGCAGUCUGCAGCUCCCCAAGCCGCAAGCGGGUCACGAUCACCUGCGCCACCCCAUGCAGAAGGCUUCUGGGGCCCUGGGGAGGCUCUGGCCUCCGGCAGCCCGGGAGUUCUGUCCGCCCCGCUAAGGAGCAAGAGUGGAAGGACCCAGUGGCCCUUGGCUCCCAGCCUGCUGGCAACGCUGCAUUGGGUGAGGCACCAAACCCUCCCAGAGCUGAGCUCCGGGCCACGGUCCCGUUGUCCCCGGGCCGCCCCCUGCCCCGGGGUGGGGUGUGCACUGCCGCCGCCCCCAGCUCUGUGGGGACACCCUCCGGGUUCCCUGUCCUGGGCUGGAAGCCAGCGCUGUGCCUGGAAGUCCCCCCGGCCCUGCGGCCCCAGGCCUGAUCAUGACUUCUGGGCUCCAGCAGGUGUUUUUAAAGGGGUAUCACUCACAGCACCUCGAACCCUCAUUUGGGGGAAUUUUAAAUACAAAAUCCCAAUUAAGCACUUUCAUGCUUUUAUGAGGGGAGGCCCCAGGCCCACACUUAGGGUCUCCCUGCUGGGAGAGGUGCUCCCUUGGGUCCCAAGAGGGGGGCAGGGGCCUCCCUAGGAUGGGGCAGCAGGGAGCAAGCUGGGUCGACUUGCACCAGGGACACUGGUUUUGCUGGACCCCGAGGCUGGGGCCUUGGUGGCCUGGGAGGCUGAGCAACGACAGCAUUUUUACUCCCGUGGGAGCAGCCAGGGCUCUCCCGCCCCU